rnacentral:rRNA from 1 species
UACGGAGGGUGCAAGCGUUAUCCGGAUUCACUGGGUUUAAAGGGUGCGUAGGUGGGUUGGUAAGUCAGUGGUGAAAUCUCCGAGCUUAACCCGGAAACUGCCGUUGAUACUAUCUGUCUUGAAUGUCGUGGAGGUGAGCGGAAUAUGUCAUGUAGCGGUGAAAUGCUUAGAUAUGACAUAGAACACCCAUUGCGAAGGCAGCUCACUACACGAUGAUUGACGCUGAGGCACGAAAGCGUGGGGAGCAAACAGG